GGCGGUGUAGCUCAGCUGGCUAGAGCGUUCGGUUCAUACCCGAAAGGUCGGGGGUUCGAUUCCCUUCGCCGCUACCA
rnacentral:tRNA from 2 species